CUGUUUGGCUAUCUCAGAUUGCUUGUUAACAUCAGUAAAAUUGAACCCAUAAAUCUACCUGCCUACCUAGUCUGGCUCACCUGGACCUUGCAGGGGCUGUUCUAGGAUCUUGUCAGGAACAUUGUAAAUCUAAGAAAUCUCUCUCCUCCACGCCUCUUCUCAUCCCCACCCCUCCUCCCGCCAUUCCCCCCGCCAAACCCUCAAACAUCAAGACCAACAGACAUCAUACAAGAGAGCUUAAUUCUGCAAAGGAAGGCAACCGCAUCAACACUGAUCUUUCUGUCCAUCUCGAGAAUAUGAUAUCCUGAUGAAACUGAGUUUCUUAUCUCCUCUAAUUUGGCGACAAUGGGGAAGGAAAGUGGGGGGCGGGCCAGGGGAGGCUUACGGGCUGUCGUCCUCAGUUACUCAGCCAAGAGGUGCUUUUCAGGGUGCUCCAGAAGGGAAGGGGGCCCCUGCAAGUCACACCAUGUGUCACAGUGCUUCACAUUGACUCACGGCCAGAUCUUGAAAAAAAUUCACAGAAGUCAGGAAAUUCCCAGCGAAUGGUCUCAUCUCACCCUCUGCUGACCCUGCAGUGAGCGUAGGUAGGGUCAGGCUGGAGGGCGUUUUUUUUAAAAAGGGGAAAAAAAUCAAAGCACUCCUGUUGAUUCUGCAUGCCCAGGGGCAGGGCAGGGUCCUAACUGGCCUGGCUGAAGACAGAGCAUCAGCCUCCAGCCCCAGUGCCCUGGGGCAGCCGGCGCUGGUCUGUUUCUUCAUUCGCGACCUUUUAUUUUUGCAGAAGAUUCCCUUCUCUGCUCUCCUCUCCCUCCGCCCAUCCUUGGCUUUAUUUCCCCUUCGGGAACAGCAUCUUUCUUUCUGGGCAGAGCAAGAUGCCCAAGAUCCACCCUCCCCCCCAACCCCCUCCAAUGGACAGGGCCAAGUUUAGAGUUGGGGCUGCUCAUUUGAGCUUUGUGUGUAAUUGAACCUGGCACAAAGGGUUAUCAUUAGGAGGGAUGGCAUGGGAUGAAGAAAAGGGAAAACUCAGACCCAAAUUAGAAAAGCUUUCCCAAGGAGACACACAGCGGCAUGGCUUGGGGGGGGUCCAAUCUCUGAGGAGUUCUCCAAGGACUAGGUAUUAAACAUGCUGCGGGAACUCAUAUGGCCAGUUUCUUGGCAUUAUUUGGGUCUGUGUUCGAGGGGUGGGCAACAGACACCAGAGGCAUCAGAUGUUAAGACUGAGGCUCUGCUCCCAAGGCUGCUUGGAAUCCUGAGCAAAACGGGGUAAUUUGUGUAAUAGAUGUUUACCGAGCGUGUCCAGAGCUGGGCACCGCCAUUUUGGUCCAGAGGACAAUGAAGGUCCCGGAGGGUGCUGAGCCUUUUCUUCUGCUCGGCUACUGACCCAGGGAUACCCCUGUCCAGAACCUUGCUGCUUCAGGCCUGGGGAAAUGGGACCCUCCCUCCCCCACCCGCCCUGUGGGUGGGAUGCUCCACGCUUCCUCACUCCCUGUGGGUCCACAGUUUGCCGAGGGGGCAUCGUAACAAGGCAAGGAGGUUUCCUCCCUGAAGUGCUGUCUCUGCUGAGCGGAUUCAGAGCCCAGCACCUUGGAUUCCCAAUCUUCGACCACCCUGUUCCUCUCCUCCGAGGAGCCAGGCCCCUCCACUGCCGCGCUGCCGUCCCCCUCGUCGUCCUGCGAGCCCUCGGCGUUCUCCCCGGGGCCCCCG